UACGAGGGGUGCAAGCGUUGUUCGGAAUUAUUGGGCGUAAAGGGCGUGUAGGCGGUUUUGUAAGUCAGGUGUGAAAUACCCGUGCUUAACAUGGGAACUGCGCCUGAAACUGCCAAACUAGAGUCUUGGAGGGGAGAGCGGAAUUCCGCAUGUAGAGGUGAAAUUCGUAGAUAUGCGGGGGAACAUCAGAGGCGAAGGCGGCUCUCUGGACAAUGACUGACGCUGAGGCGCGAGAGCGUGGGGAGCAAACAGG
rnacentral:rRNA from 1 species